AGAAGAAUAAACUAAUGGAAAGUUAUUUGGCUCAUGAUCAAAAUAUAUAGGUUCAAUUCCUAUUUCUUCAA
rnacentral:tRNA from 1 species